GUCAAGUUGACACAAAACUAGCCAGUACACUAGGUUUGGGGCUAAUAUCCACUUAUCAGUGAGUACAUAUUGUGUGAGUUUCUUUGUGAAUGUGUUACCUCACUCAGGAUGAUGCCCUCCAGGUCCAUCCAUUCGGCUAGGAAUUUCAUAAAUUCAUUCUUUUUAAUAGCUGAGUAGUACUCCAUUGUGUAGAUGUACCACAUUUUCUGUAUCCAUUACUCUGUUGAGGGGCAUCUGGGUUCUUUCCAGCUUCUGGCUAUUAUAAAUAAGGCUGCUAUGAACAUAGUGGAGCAUGUGUCCUUCUUACCAGUUGGGGCAUCUUCUGGAUAUAUGCCCAGGAGAGGUAUUGCUGGAUCCUCCGGUAGUACUAUGUCCAAUUUUCUGAGGAACCGCCAGACUGAUUUCCAGAGUGGUUCUACAAGCCUGCAAUCCCACCAACAAUGGAGGAGUGUUCCUCUUUCUCCACAUCCACGCCAGCAUCUGCUGUCACCUGAAUUUUUGAUCUUAGCCAUUCUGAUUGGUGUGAGGUGGAAUCUCAGGGUUGUUUUGAUUUGCAUUUCCCUGAUGAUUAAGGAUGUUGAACAUUUUUUCAGGUGUUUCUCUGCCAUUCGGUAUUCCUCAGGUGAGAAUUCUUUGUUCAGUUCUGAGCCCCAUUUUUUAAUGGGGUUAUUUGAUUUUCUGAAGUCCACCUUCCUGAGUUCUUUAUAUAUGUUGGAUAUUAGUCCCCUAUCUGAUUUAGGAUAGGUAAUGAUCCUUUCCCAAUCUGUUGGUGGUCUUUUUGUCUUACUGACGGUGUCUUUUGCCUUGCAGAAACUUUGGAGUUUCAUUAGGUCCCAUUUGUCAAUUCUCGAUCUUACAGUACAAGCCAUUGCUGUUCUGUUCAGGAAUUUUUCCCCUGUGCCCAUAUCUUCUGGAAGGAUAUUACUGCUAGAUUAAAAGUGCCCAGCUUAUUUAUAUGGGAAAGUUGCCUGCUGAAAAUGGCCAGUACACACCUGCAUGGGAUUUUUAGAAUCCUUGUGACAGCACAGCACUCUGAACCUGCUAUUUUUGUCUGUUUUUUUUUUUUUGAAAUGUCAAGCUCAAAAUAUGAAUAAUAAAAAUAUCUCAAGAUGUAUCUCAAUCAAGUAAUGAUUUUUGAAACCAUGGAACAGAUCAAGAUUGAAGUUCUGUAGGUAAAAUCUUUGGUGACUAUUCAGCAUAGAAUUGAGAUACUCGCUAUUGGGCAAGUGAUCAAGGUAGUUUCUUCCCCAUGACUUGUGGACCUAGUUGUUAUGAAAAACUGUAGUUCACACCAGAGAUAUGUUCACAGGAACUUAGUGAUGGACGUUAAUAUAUUACUUGGAGAUGGUGGAACAUACCUCUAGCCCCAGCGCUCAGAAGGCAGAUGCAGGUGGAUCUCUGAUUUCAAGGUCAGUCUAGUCUACAUAGAGAUUUCCAGGUCGGCCAAGGCUACACAGAAAAAACCUUGUUUUGAAAAAAAAAAUGAAGAAAGAAAGGAAAGACGG
rnacentral:lncRNA from 1 species